UGGGGUUUGUGGAAGGUGGACCUAGGAAAGCAGUACAGAAUACAUGAUGUCAAGAUAUAUCAGCCAUCGCACAUUUGCAGCCCUGGGUUGUUUUGGUGAAACCUGCAGUAAAUUUUGUCACUGCGCUGAAGAGGCGUGUGACCAUAUGUAAGUGGUUUGUGUCCAAGAGACUGUAGACCAGGGUGGCAGGGCAACAGGUGUGAUACAGAAUGUGACGCUAACCACUAUGUAGUCAACUGUGUGAACACGUGUACUGACAGGAAGUGUUCUGAUGUCAUCUCGUCAUGUGAUCGCU